rnacentral:rRNA from 2 species
UGGGGAAUCUUCCGCAAUGGACGAAAGUCUGACGGAGCAACGCCGCGUGUAUGAAGAAGGCCUUCGGGUUGUAAAAUACUGUUGUUAGGGAAGAACUUUCAGUAUGUGAAUAAUGUGCUGAAUUGACGGUACCUAACGAGGAAGCCCCGGCUAACUACGUGCCAGCAGCCGCGGUAAUACGUAGGGGGCAAGCGUUGUCCGGAAUCAUUGGGCGUAAAGGGCGCGUAGGCGGGCAUAUAAGUCUGAUGUGAAAGUGCGGAGCUUAACUCCGUAAAGCAUUGGAAACUGUAUGUCUUGAGGACAGGAGAGGAAAGUGGAAUUCCACGUGUAGCGGUGAAAUGCGUAGAGAUGUGGAGGAACACCAGUGGCGAAGGCGACUUUCUGGACUGUAACUGACGCUGAGGCGCGAAAGCGUGGGGAGCGAACAGG